UAAAUGUCAAAUAGGUAUAUUUUAAUUGGCUUAUUACGUUCUAAGGUUCUUAUUGGUAUUGUUUGAAUUUAUGCAAGGCUCAGAGCAUUCCAGAUUUAAUAAUUAAUGGUACAGUGACACUUUCCAACUCUCUGUUAGUGGGACUUUGCUUUUCAAUUUGCCCUUGUCAGUUUUCAAAGGACCUGUGUUAGAUAUCCAGUGCAGACUCAUAAGCAUUAUAAUAUUUUCAUGCAAUAACAGAAAGUAGGAGGAAAAAAUGUGUAUACUGGGGCUAUAUCCAUCUUUACCUCAAAUAUCUCUGCUAUGAUAUUACUGAAAACACAAAGAGCAUUAAAAAACAAGUCAAAGUAUUGAGCUGCCUGCAGCUGUUAAAACUGAAAUUGUAUUGAUUGCACUUGCUGUCUCAGAUACAGAGCCAAAAAAACUCCAAAAGAAGCAAACAAAACUGUUACUGAGUUAAAGCCUCUUUUCAAUGACAAGAAAGGCAAGGAAAGAAAACAACAGUAAAUAUAUGCACUGUUAGAAAGUACCAGUUAAAACAUCCUUUUAUAUAAAUAAGUGAAGUACUGCCCAAGUUCUGUGGUGAGUUCAGAGAAAUUUGAGAAACAGCUGUCCACAAUUAGCUUGGACAAUUCUUUGCAUUAAAAAGAGGAAAAAAAAGAAAAAAACAAGACAAAGGAGUCAAAUGAUACAACCUGCAGCACUAGAUAGAAAACAAACCAGGGACCUCUAUGUACCUUUCCUUACUGUGCAAGAACAAGAAAAUAUUAAAUACAACACAGAGGCAAUCAAUCUGCACCUAAUAAAAUGAUACACCUUCUGUUCAAGCCACCUCUGAGAAUAGGCAUUUAGAAAUAUAAUAAGAACAUCCACAGUUAUUAGGGGAAAUAGUAGCAGAGAAAUAUAAACUGUCAUGCUUGUGGCCAUUUCUCAAGCAAUUACUGGUGAUGUUAGGAAGAAGCUUUUCCUAUGGGUAAGAUGUUUCUUUUUUGCCCGUUUCAAACUUCUCUUCACCUCACUGACAGACAUACAUAGGGAGAAUAAGAAAACAUGACACUGAAAAACAUCAAUAAGGAUAUAGCUGGCAAAAAACCAUUCUUGGGCUUUUGUAUGAUACGUAUGCCAAUUACAAGAUACAAACCAUUUUGGUCAAUGUGAAAUAUCAUUUUUAGAUGUUUGUUUGCAUGAAUAUCAGGGAAGGACCCGCAAUACCUCAAAGUUUAACCUCAUCAUUUUAAGUCUGAAUAUGUAAAUAUCCCAUUUCUCUAUGUUAUGGACAAAGCUUAACCAAUGUUGUUUAUCAUAUUUUUCUAGCUAAAGUUUUAAAGCAAAGCACAUUACAGUAAUAGGCUUUUCUUUGUCACGCUUCAAGAAUAUUAAUGAACGUAUGCUUUCAGCACUUCUGUGAGGUACAAAUGUGAUACAGGAGAAAAAGCCUAUUAUUAUAAUAUAAAGAUAGAAGACUGAGGCAUAAUAGAAUGGAAUAACUUGCUGAAGGCAAUCAAAACGGCUAUAGACAACAGCUAUGUUAUGUCACAGUUCAGUGCCAUAAUCACAAGGACCACCUUUCCUUAGAGUCGGAAAGAUUUAUAAGUGGUGAAAACCACUCUGUAAAUCUUCAAGGAUGCCAAACUAAGUUGGCAGAUUUAUAAUGAGACUUAUAUAUAUAAAAAAAAAGUUUUCUAGUUGACCAUUCUUCCUGCUGUAUAGGUACAGCAGAAGACAGCUGCAAACGUCCUAUUGAAUUUCUAAUGUCCAUUUCCUUCCCCCAAAAGACAACCAUUUAAGCUUGAAAAUCAAUAUCUGUUUAAAAACCAAUCUGUGCCUGUGUUUUUCCUAAAGAACGGAAUAAAAAUAAACAGCCAGGUAACCAACUAAUAAAGCCUGCACAUAAAAGGUUAACUCUGUGCUUCAGAAAGCACUUACAAUAAUAAAAAAGUAUGAAAAAGUGCCAUACAUCUCCCAAACAGUUUCAAUUUUGUCAGCAAAAUCACAGUGCCAUAUAUUUUUCCUUCUGUCCGUAACACUGGAGAUGAUGUUAUACUUGUAUGACCUGCUGCUGGAAUACUGAACACUCACCAGUUGAGCACUAGGGAAUAGUACACGAAUACCAUUAAGCAGAAAGCAUCACAUGCAUACAAAAUAGUCAUAGCAACAAAUUAUUUUUUCUAAAUGGAAUUUUGUUUAAGGGUGCUUUGGUACGUGCAGGGAUGUGUUAAGUCUGUGAUUCUUGUAACUUCAGCUGAUACAGAUUAAAUGUUCAGAUCGAGCUAUGGAAGGACCGCGGCGUCUCUGAUUACAUUUUAUGUAGCGUAGCAGGGUUAGAGUUUAGCUUAACUAUACUCUAAUUGUACAGUUCCACUGUAAUCAAAAUUACCAGAAAAUAAAUAUUGAAACAUCACACACCUUAAGAGCCUUCACGAAUGAAAGAUACUUUCCUCGGUUACUUAUAAAGGGAGGUCAAACCUAUCUUUAUAAAGUGAUACUAAUUCUAAUGUUAUCUAAGGAAAGAAUGUGCACGUUUCUUCAAGAACAAAGGGAUGUUCUUGUCUGAUAAAAGUGCAUGCACACUAACGAUAAAGAGAUGAAUAACUCUUAAAAUAAAGUGAAGAUAGCAUGCCAAGAUUUGUAUAUCUGAGUAUUAAAUGAAAUAAUCUUUGUUUCAAAGUCAGUACAAGACAUAAAACAGAUUUUGUUGCAAACAAUAGAGCAAGUACCAGUAUUUGAAUCUGAAGACAAGAGGUAAGGUCUGAAAAUUGUUUUCUUCAUAAAAAAUGUGUCAGGAAUAAUUCCAGGUUAGGUGUCAAUUAACAGAUGUGUCACAGCCUCCCCCUAUUUUCUGCUUUCCCCCAAACACCUCUUUCCCAUUACUCACACAUCUUUUUCAGCAUAAAGGCAAAUGAGCUGUGAAAAGAAGUGAGAUGGUAGUGACCGAGCUACAUACAAAAGCCAUUAGACUACUUAACACAAUUUAAAAUGGGAUUAAGAAUAAGCUAAAACGCUAGAGAAUAUAAGCAACACAUAUAUUACAGAAACUGGGCCAGCUACCAGAUUGCGCUGUGCAGAAGAGCUCUGACUGACAGGAACCUACCUGAACAGAGAGAAGGAUUUAGAUCUAAGGGUCUCAGGCAGCCAACAGGUAUAGAUAAAUAAUGCAAGGUGGAACACUACGUUUUACUUACUGCACAUUAUCUUCUUCUUAUACUUUUCAAUUUGGAUGGGAAGAUUUACAAUAAAUCAGUUUUCCUGAGUGAAUUGCAAUUGUUGCUAGCGCUAUGGCUAAUUUCCAGGACACUGCUUUGAGAAUACUCAUUAAUGAAGGAUUUAAAAGUCAGUGGAAAAUCCCUUAUUUACAGCGAGUGCCUAAUAGGAUAAGAUCCAACUGGUAUUGUCGUAAUACAAGAUUGGAUUAGAAUGUCUCAUGGGCAAGUUGUUCAAAUUCAUUUAAGAACUGAUAAUCUAAUUGUAAGAGAUUGAAAAAAAAAAAAAAUCAAACUAGCCAGUGCACAAAUGGAAAGCCAAGCAGGACUUCUUUUGAUUUCACCUGUCUUUCUUGUGUAUUUUCAGAGCCUUUUAUAUUCAUUCUGUGAAUGUAGUUGUAUAAUUUGAAGUGCGGUCCAUUGUAAUAGGUGGCUUCUUAAAAAGCUGGACAUCUGUUCACAUUUCAGAAAAAAAAGGAUGGUAUGAAAAGCUUACAAUUAAUGUGCCAAUAUAAAAAAAUCCAUAAAAAUCGUAUUUUGUAAAGUUAGAAGUCGCUACACAGAGUGGUUUCUGGCAAUUAUUCAUGGCUGUGGCUCUUGCAGGAAUAAGUCUUACAUCAGUCAGGUCUGUUUGCAGAAACAAGGACUUCAAGAUUUGUCUCUUAGCCAAGGGAGUUUAAAAUAUGACCAAUCUGCCACCUUGUCCAAGGAAGGAAAUGGUGACUAUUUCAAGAAAGAUCUUGGCCAGAUCAAAAAGUGAUGCUCUAGUUAUGGCUUAAAUACAGUGACAGGCUGUAGCUGUAGGUAAAUAUCAAGUUGUCCUAAAGGUUACAAUCACAGAUUCAAUACUGGUACCAGAAAUUAUGAUUGUGUCCUUCUUAAUGUGCUCUUGCAUUGCUAUGUCAUUUAAAAAAAAAAAAAAUUGCUACUGAAUAAACAAUAGAAGAAACCCAUUUUUUCAAUCAUUCAGUUUUCGCAUGACUGAGUGUAAAUAUGUACCAUCUUAUUCAGUUUUCAUGUACGAAGUCUGUUAAACCUGCCAGUACCAGAGAAAUACGAUCUAAAAAUUAAAUCACCAAUCUGAAUUGUGCAUUCAUUAACAGUAUAAUGGAACCUGCAUAUUUUCUCCUAGCACUCCUCCAGCCUUCUUUUAAAGCACAGCACCCUACAGCUACUCUGAAUAUAGUUUAUUUCAUUCUUAUUCAGUAAUAUACUUUAUCCCAUGAGAACUGCAACUAAAUUCAAAUUACGCAACAGUUAAAAACUGGUAGACCAAAAUUAUUAUAUGAAUUAUAAACAGCAUAACCACUUGUAACUACUGUUUAAAUUAUUUUGGAUUAGAACUUCAGCUGUGUAAUCAAAACUAUUCUUAUUUACUCAUACAGCUGUGGCAUUUAAUGACACCAGCCAGGUACCACCGUGCUUGGUGCUAAAAAAAGCACAAAGGAGAAGGCUGUGCUCUGAGGAGCUUACAGGUUAAUUUAGGACCGGAUGUGGGAGAAUCAAAGGAUCCCUGAAUCAUUAAGGUUGGAAAAGACCUCUAAGAUCAUCAUGUUCAGCUGUCAGUUUAUCCCCACCAUGCCCACUGAACCACAUCCUCAAGUGCCAUAUCUCCACAUUUCUUGAACACCUCCAGGGACAGUGACGCCACCAUCUCCCUGGGCAGCUUGUGCCAGUGCCUCAUCACUCUUUCUGAGAAUACAAUUUUCCUAAUAUCCAACCUGAACCUCCACUGGUGCAACUUGAGGCUAUUACCCCUCGUCAUAUCACGUCCUUCCUGUAGAGAAGGAGCAAAACUGAACACAGCGCUCGAGGUGUGGCCUCAACAGUUCUGAGCACAGAGGGAUGAUCACUUCCCUCCCUUGCUGCCUGCACUAUUUCUGAUACAAGCCAGGAUGCCAUUGGCCUUCUUGUCCACCUGGGCACACUGCUGGCUCAUGUUCAGCCAGCUCUCAGCUAACACUCCCAGGUCAUUUUCGUUUUUGCAGCUUUCCAGUCACUCUGCCCCAAAGCCUGUAGCAAUGGAUGGGGUUGUUGCAAUCUAAGUGCAGAACCUGUCCCUCAGCCCUGUUGAAGCUCAUACCACUGGCCUCAGCCCAUUGAUUCAGCCUAUCCAGAUCAAGCAGAGGAUGAGAAGGGUCAGGCAAGGAUGCUAGUGGUAAGAGUUAGCAGUUCUGCAGGUUAGCAAUGGUUAUCUUCUAGAAGAUUCUCCAAAAGGGCAGGAUGGUCAGGAAGAAAGGAGGCAGGGAACAGCCGGGCAGAAGCCGGGCCAAAGAGAUGCUGUGAACAGAUGGUGCCUGAAGAGCACUGCCUGAAAAGGCUGCAGGGCUUCGUGGAGGAAACUGGCUGUACUUACAGCAAUGACCGGAGGUGACGGCAGACUGAGAAGGGUGGUAGAGCACUGACAACCCCAUGGGGAAGGGAUAGCAUGGAGAAAGUGAGAAAUGAAUGGUGAGGCCAAGGGAGAAAAGGGGGACUAGGCACACAAGGGAAUGGAUAUAUGGUAGUUGAUGUAACCCGACGAAUUAUGGGAAGUUUAAUGACUAAAUUAAUUAACAACUGUUGACAAAUGAGUACAUUAUAACACACUUUCAGAUGCAGGACCAGGAAAUCAGACAUCAAAUUCUCCUUCUCUCCUCUUUCCCAGUUCUUGGGUCUGCUUAAAUUACUUCUUUUCCUCCUAAAAGUUUAUUCAAAUAAUUACUGUUCAGUGAGAACCAGCUACUUUGCUUUUGAAUGCACAGGUCUGCUUCAGCUUAGCAAAAGGAUAUAUAACUGGAACCAUGGUACGAAGAAAAGAAAAAACAAGGUAUGCACCUCUACCUUCCUAAUUAUCUGUGGCAAAGUUUUCUUCUAAAAUACUGUUCAUGUUUACACAAGGGAGUUUAGAGCAGCCAGUGUGUACUGAUGCAUUGGACAUAUUAAUUUCUGGUGCACUGAGGGACUUUCCUAAAAAUAAUUCUCAUAUAUAUUCUUCUCUUUUUCUCCUCUACUUUUCCUUUAAGGUGAGGAAUAAAAUAACAUAAACCAAAAUAACAUAAACCAAAGCGCCCAGGAAUGCUGGCAGAAACCAGCAAAAUAUGAAAAGUCACAAAAGAGUUCAUGUGGAAAAAAAUCAAAUUUCAUUUUUGGGACCGGAUUAAUGACACAAUUUUCUAGCCAAGUCUGUGUAAUUUAAAUUUAAUUUUCUGCGCAGGAAGCAGAUUUCUAUGAUUGGUUGUUGGGACAGUUGUAUGAAGAAACUCGAAUACAUCACGUUAAUCAAUUCUACACUUCAGCUGUCUUCUCCCUAGUGUUAACAACCUCCCACUGGACAAAACUGUGUGCUGGUAACUUACUGAUAAUGCUAACAUCUUCAUUAAUGAUGGGUCACACCCGCCCUAUUUAAAGGACUUGCAAGGAGAUCUUCAACAUCGCACUACUACAUGAUAGCAGGGGCUAUUCUGGCCUUCCCUUCUUCAGACAAGCUGAUCCAGGACUAGCUGUGGUUCCCGGAAGCACAGCAAGCAGUAAGAGCAUCAAGCAUGGGAGUUACCAUUUCUCAGCUCUCAGCAAGAAGAUGAAGGUUUUUUUUUUAGAAUGAAUUUAUUACUAGAUCCAAGUUUUAAGUUACGGCACAAAAUUAUGGCAUUUAUAAAGAGAACUAUGGAUGUUUACCAUGACUUUGGACUACUGCUUCAAAAGGGUGCUUGCUGUAACAGUGUGCGUCUUUCACAUCUGACCAACAUUUAGGCCAACUCAGGACAUAAAAACAUGGUGGCAUGCUUUGCAUGAGAAGUCAGUGUCAUACACACUUCUGCACUGAUAAUACCCUAAAUUUGUUUUGCAGUGCCAGAGGAACGGGACAACGCUCGACUUUCUUCCUGAAAAAACUGUAUGACGUGGCCUUGCUCAUGAAUAAGGCAGAACUACAUGUACAACAGAAAGACCAAACUGUUUCAGUCCCUCGUGCCGGAGAUACUGGGGAGCGUUGGUUGGCUGGGAAUAACAAAUGUAACUAAAAAAGCUUGAGAAAAAGGGACAGGAAAUCUCCAGACUCAUUAAAAGUCCUCUGGGCUUUUAUUCCAAGGUUCUCUUCAGGACAUCCAUGUUCUUCUCUCAUAAUCACCAUACAUCAAAACAGAACAACAACAAAAAUUCAUGAUUUUUUUGUGUUGCUUAAAUUUAUACCAACUCUAAAAUGCAAGAAACUGAAUGUGAUUGAUGAGAUCCAAGUGCUUAUUUUCUCCUAGACAAGAAAUUAAUUUU